AUUUUCAGAAAAACCUAAACUUUUGAUGAUGUCGAGGAUUAUGAAUCAUGACACCCAUAAAUGAAGUUUCAGAGAGAUUUAAUUAUAUUGUUACUUUGAAGAAAACCACAUAGAACCGUAUUUAGGUACAAAUUUAAAAUCAUUUCAUUCAGUUUUCACAUCUCUGUUUUUCUUUUAAACUAUCUGGUAAACAUCCAGAGAUUCUGAAUGCUUCUCUCUGAUAGAUGCAAAGAGCAUUUAAGCUAACACUCAGCUGUUUGUUUAUUAUGUUUUCAAACUUUUCCCAGUUUCUGUUUAGUAUUCAGUGAAAUGGUGUAAAGAAAACCAUCUGCACUGCAGCUGCAAAGGGAUUACCUUUGGUUCUUCUUUUCAAAAAGAAGCCAAAUGCCCCCUGUGCACAGCCCUGGACAGUUGCUUGGAUCUUGCACCAUAUGUUUUAUACAGUCGUCUUGGAGCUAAGUCAAUUAAUAGCUCAGAAGAUACAAUUAGCCUUUUAGUGACUGCAUUCAUUAAUAAAGGGCUGCCUAAAAUAAAGAAACUCUUGAUUCCCUGCCCCUAUUAUAAUUGCAGACUAAAGAUUUGAAAUGUUGGAUGACAGCAAAUGUACGAGAUCAUUAGCCCAUGGCGGAUGUUCCAAUUUCUGUAGCCUACUGCCACCAUGCCACCUUCCUAGGUGUGUGCUAGGAUAUUGGCACAAAAUAAAAAUGAAAUUAUUCUCAACAGAAGUUUUAAAAUGGAGCAGAACUCCAGGAGGACUAGAAGAAUCUGCUCCAAGAAUAAAACUGCUCAGAAAAGGGAAAACCAGGGUAAGUGUCUUCAAGGAUAUUUAAAAUGAGAGCAUGUUAUUGACUUUACUGUGCACGCAGAAACAUUUUAAAACUAAGAGCCAUAAUAAGCCAAUCAGUAGUGACCAAGAAGUGAUAUGGAGAUGGAUACUGACUGCUUGAUUAUGGGAGCAAUUCAUCCUAAGAAAAUAUUUAACUUUUUUUAAUGCUUUUUAGUUUCUCACAUUCCCUUGUAAAUUCUGGCAAGAUUAAGAUUUUCUCCUCUUUCACAUCACCAUUCUCUGAAUAUGCCAGAAAAUGUGAGGUUUUUUUUUUUUAAAGCGUUUGAAUUGGAUCAUAUUUCUAUAUUGGGAAGUUAACCAGAAAUUUGGCAGGCACAGAUCUGAGCACAGAAAUAUCUUAUUAUCUUAAUUGCUAUUUUAGUGUGUAGUAUCCCUUUAAUUGGAUAUGUUUUUUGAGGCCAACCAUUUCUUUUUUUUUUCUCCUAAGAUUAAAAAUUCUUCAUGCUUAACAUAGAAUGAAGAGGAUUAUCUUCUAAAGCACACAGAUAAUAAGGACUGAGACAUGGAAUACUUUUGAAACUAUGGAUAAAUCUUGUCUAGUAAUAAAAUAGGUUUAAUAGUAUCUUGGAUCCA
rnacentral:lncRNA from 1 species